GUGAAAGGCGCGAUCAGCGCGUCAUAGAUCAUGACAAACUCACGCCGCCCGUGACUGCGCAUGCUCGGCGCACGGCGCUGCCGCAUCAUCGAACGCCUCGCACAUAUGCCGCGCGGCCAGAAGAUUCUCGGCCGUCAGCACAUCCGACGUCGCUCCCCACGCCACCGGCGACCGCGCCAGCAACAGUGUCUCGGGGAAAUUCGCGCGCACCAGUUCCAUGUCGUGCAGUGCCGCCAGCACCGUGCGCUUCUCGGUGUGCCAGCGCCGCACCAGUGCAAUGAGAUCAGCAGACGUUUUCGCAUCGAUGGCGUUGAACGGCU
rnacentral:misc_RNA from 1 species